rnacentral:rRNA from 1 species
UUGAACGCUGGCGGCAUGCCUUACACAUGCAAGUCGAACGGCAUCGCGGGAAAGCUUGCUUUCCUGGCGGCGAGUGGCGAACGGGUGAGUAACACAUCGGAACGUACCGGCUAGUGGGGGAUAACCCGUCGAAAGACGGGCUAAUACCGCAUACGCUCUUCGGAGGAAAGCAGGGGACCUUUGGGCCUUGCGCUAGUCGAGCGGCCGAUGUCCGAUUAGCUAGUUGGUGGGGUAAAGGCCUACCAAGGCGACGAUCGGUAGCGGGUCUGAGAGGACGAUCCGCCACACUGGGACUGAGACACGGCCCAGACUCCUACGGGAGGCAGCAGUGGGGAAUCUUGGACAAAGGGGGCAACCCUGAUCCAGCAAUGCCGCGUGGGUGAAGAAGGCCUUCGGGUUGUAAAGCCCUUUCGGCAGGGAAGAAAUCGGCGGGGCGAAUAACCCUGCUGGAUGACGGUACCUGCAGAAGAAGCACCGGCUAACUACGUG